UACGGAGGGUGCAAGCGUUAUCCGGAUUUACUGGGUUUAAAGGGUGCGUAGGUGGAUAAUUAAGUCAGUGGUGAAAUCUUCAGGCUUAACCUGGAAACUGCCAUUGAUACUAUUUAUCUUGAAUACUUUGGAGGUAAGCGGAAUAUGUCAUGUAGCGGUGAAAUGCUUAGAUAUGACAUAGAACACCAAUUGCGAAGGCAGCUCGCUACACGAAUAUUGACUCUGAGGCACGAAAAGCGUGGGGAUCAAACAGG
rnacentral:rRNA from 1 species